GGCCUGCCCCAGGCUCCCAGACAGGUGCCUGGGUGGGGGAGGAGAAGGAAAACGGCAGCAGCCAGCCUUUACUUAUGAUGACUACAGUCCUCACACUGUGACACCAGUGCUUUCAGGGUUAGCUGGGCUCCAUCGGGUAAUUUCCAAGGCGGACAGGCCGGGCGGGGUGUGAAGACCAUGCGAGCCGCAGGCCCCACAAGUGGCGCGGGAACAGGGACCUGACACGGGGACGAAGGGAAGGACCCUGCUGGAAGAAGACGCGUCGAGAAGUUAAGAGCAAAAAUUAAGAAACCGCAGUCAACCUUGUUAUGCUGGUCAUCUACGAGCUCAUACAGGACUCCCAGGCCACUGGCAGAAGGGCAUGUUUGUGUUUUUCCACAGGAUGCCGAGGUGGCCACCAGAGAGGCUUGUCAGGUCCGCCGGGAUACCUGGAAAAAUGGCUGAGGCAGUUGAGGCUGAGUGAGGAUGGGGUGCAGCCACAGGCCUUCAGCACCAGAAGUGUCACACGCCUGCCUGGGGACAGACAAAGAAGCUGGCCCCUGAAGCGAAGCUCUGGUGGAGGCCUCAGCAGCCUCUGACUCUGACGAACUUACUCCUGGCCGUGGUAUAUAAAGUCUCAGGAACUACUAAAGCAAUUUGGGACUAGUCACAGGACGAUCAAACCUCCUGGACCUGAGGUUUAGCUCAAGGGGCAUGGAAAAUUACCUCUGGACGAUGGCAGGACGGACUUUGGCGACUUGCUGCCUCCAUGGGAGAUUCUCUGGGUCAGAGACACCUGAUGGCGAAAUUCGAAAGGGGCGUGGUUCCGGAAUCCUGCAGGCACCUCAGCACCUGAAAAUAUAACGGCUUGUGUACCUGAACCUUGGGUUUUUGUGAUUGGGAAAACUAACAUUACUAUUGACGGGGCACGAUAUAAUGUAACUUGUUUGAAUUGCAACCUAACCAACUGUAUAAAUAAUGUCCCUAGAGGGACCCAAGUUCUGGUGGCACAUCAACCUUCAUUCAUAAUGCUACCAGUAAAUAUUUCAGAACCAUGGUAUUCUGAAAAAGGACUUCAGGUUUUAGAAGAAAUAAAAAGGGGGUUCAGCCCUGGCCGGUUUAACUCAGCGGUUAGAGUGUCGGCCUGCGGUCCAGAGAGACCCGGGUUCAGUUC